rnacentral:rRNA from 1 species
GGGUUGUGAGGUUAAGCGACUAAGCGUACACGGUGGAUGCCCUGGCAGUCAGAGGCGAUGAAGGGCGUGCUAAUCUGCGAUAAGCGCCGGUAAGGUGAUAUGAACCGUUAUAACCGGCGAUACCCGAAUGGGGAAACCCAGUGUGACUCGUCACACUAUCAUUAACUGAAUCCAUAGGUUAAUGAGGCGAACCGGGGGAACUGAAACAUCUAAGUACCCCGAGGAAAAGAAAUCAACCGAGAUUCCCCCAGUAGCGGCGAGCGAACGGGGAGGAGCCCAGAGCCUGAAUCAGCAUGUGUGUUAGUGGAAGCGUCUGGAAAGGCGCGCGAUACAGGGUGACAGCCCCGUACACAAAAGCGCAUGUGCUGUGAGCUCGAUGAGUAGGGCGGGACACGUGGUAUCCUGUCUGAAUAUGGGGGGACCAUCCUCCAAGGCUAAAUACUCCUGACUGACCGAUAGUGAACCAGUACCGUGAGGGAAAGGCGAAAAGAACCCCGGCGAGGGGAGUGAAAAAGAACCUGAAACCGUGUACGUACAAGCAGUGGGAGCACAGGUUUACCUGUGUGACUGCGUACCUUUUGUAUAAUGGGUCAGCGACUUAUAUUCUGUAGCAAGGUUAACCGUAUAGGGGAGCCGGAGGGAAACCGAGUCUUAACCGGGCGUUAAGUUGCAGGGUAUAGACCCGAAACCCGGUGAUCUAGCCAUGGGCAGGUUGAAGGUUGGGUAACACUAACUGGAGGACCGAACCGACUAAUGUUGAAAAAUUAGCGGAUGACCUGUGGCUGGGGGUGAAAGGCCAAUCAAACCGGGAGAUAGCUGGUUCUCCCCGAAAGCUAUUUAGGUAGCGCCUCGUGAA